rnacentral:rRNA from 1 species
CCCGGCCGACAAGCGGUGGAGUAUGUGGUUUAAUUCGAUGCAACGCGAAGAACCUUACCUCGGUCGUUGACAUCCCGGAAGGACCCUUAGGAAACGUAAGGGGGUGGCUUCCAUCUGGAAGAAUCUGGAGACAGGUGCUGCAUGGCUGUCGUCAGCUCGUGUCGUGAGAUGUUGGGUUAAGUCCCGCAACGAGCGCAACCCUUGCCUUUAGUUGCCAGCAGUUCGGCUGGGCACUCUAAAGGGACUGCCGGUGUUAAACCGGAGGAAGGUGGGGAUGACGUCAAGUCCUCAUGGCCUUUAUGACCAGGGCUACACACGUACUACAAUGGCCGAUACAAAGGGCAGCGACACUGCGAGGUGAAGCCAAUCCCGUAAAAUCGGUCUCAGUCCGGAUUGGAGUCUGCAACUCGACUCCAUGAAGUUGGAAUCGCUAGUAAUCGUGGAUCAGCAUGCCACGGUGAAUACGUUCCCGGGCCUU